AUUGAUUUUAAGAAAGGCGUUGAUGUUUUUGGUUAGGUACACAUUGAUUUUAAGAAGGGCGUUGAUGUUUUUGGUUAGGUACACAUUGAUUUUAAGAAGGGCGUUGAUGUUUUUGGUUAGGUACACAUUGAUUUUAAGAAAGGCGUUGAUGUUUUUGGUUAGGUACACAUUGAUUUUAAGAAGGGCGUUGAUGUUUUUGGUUAGGUACACAUUGAUUUUAAGAAGGGCGUUGAUGUUUUUGGUUAGGUACACAUUGAUUUUAAGAAGGGCGUUGAUGUUUUUGGUUAGGUACACAUUGCUUUUUUUCGCGAAUGCGCUUGUUAAAUCACCCGUUUUGCGAAGUAGGCUGUGAUUCAAUGAUAAAUUAACCGCAUCGAUUAUAUGCAACGCAGGACAAGCUAGAUAAACUAGUAAUAUCAUCAACCAUGUGUAGUUAACUAGUGAUUGUUAAGAUUGAUUGAUUGUUUUUUUAUAAGAUACGUUUAAUGCUAGCUAGCACUUUACUUUGGCUCCUUGCUGCACUCGCAUAACAGGUAGUCAGCCUGCCACACAGUCUCCUCGUGGAGUGCAAUGUAAUCGGCCAUGAUCGGUGUCCAAAAAUGCUCAUCACCGAUUGUUAUGAGAACUUGAAAUCGGCCCUAAUUAAUCGGCCAUUCUGAUUAAUCGGUCGACCUCGGCUAUGGAAAAUCAACUGACAUUUACUCCUGAGGUGCUGACCUGCUGCACACUCUACAACCACUGAUUUGACCCUGUUGGUCAUCUAUGAUCAUCCUGAAUAACAGCCUUAAUGGCCA